rnacentral:tRNA from 1 species
GGGGCUGUGGUGUAGCUUGGUCUAUCAUCGUAGGUUUGGGACCUAUGGACCCCAGUUCGAAUCUGGGCAGCCCCA